AGAGUUUGAUCAUGGCUCAGGACGAACGCUGGCGGCGUGCCUAACACAUGCAAGUCGAGCGGAGAAUCAUCGAAGAGCAAUCAGAGAUGAUUUUUAGCGGCGGACGGGUGAGUAACGCGUGGGCAACCUACCUCUAACUGGGGGAUAACACAGGGAAACUUGUGCUAAUACCGCAUAACAUAUUGAAAGGACAUCCUUUUAAUAUCAAAGGAGCAAUCCGGUGAGAGAUGGGCCCGCGUCCAAUUAGCUAGUUGGUGGGGUAACGGCCCACCAAGGCGACGAUUGGUAGCCGAACUGAGAGGUUGAUCGGCCACAUUGGGACUGAGACACGGCCCAGACUCCUACGGGAGGCAGCAGUGGGGAAUAUUGCGCAAUGGGGGAAACCCUGACGCAGCAACGCCGCGUGAAGGAUGAAGGUUUUCGGAUCGUAAACUUCUUUGAUGAGGGACGAAACAAAUGACGGUACCUCAAAAACAAGCCACGGCUAACUACGUGCCAGCAGCCGCGGUAAUACGUAGGUGGCGAGCGUUGUCCGGAAUUACUGGGUGUAAAGGGCGUGUAGGCGGGAAUGUAAGUCAGAUGUGAAAUACCGAGGCUUAACUUCGGGGCUGCAUCUGAAACUAUAUUUCUUGAGUGUCGGAGAGGAAAGUGGAAUUCCCAGUGUAGCGGUGAAAUGCGUAGAUAUUGGGAGGAACACCAGUGGCGAAGGCGACUUUCUGGACGAUAACUGACGCUGAGGCGCGAAAGCGUGGGGAGCAAACAGGAUUAGAUACCCUGGUAGUCCACGCCGUAAACGAUGGAUACUAGGUGUAGGAGGUAUCGACCCCUUCUGUGCCGCAGUUAACACAAUAAGUAUCCCACCUGGGGAGUACGGCCGCAAGGUUGAAACUCAAAUGAAUUGACGG
rnacentral:rRNA from 1 species